rnacentral:rRNA from 1 species
UACGUAGGCAGCGAGCGUUGUUCGGAGUACUGGGCGUAAAGGGUGUGUAGGCGGUUCUUUAAGUUUGGUGUGAAAUCUCCCGGCUCAACCGGGAGGGUGCGCCGAAUACUGAGGGACUAGAGUAUGGGAUGGGAAAGUAGAAUUCCUGGUGUAGCGGUGAAAUGCGUAGAUAUCAGGAGGAACACCUGUGGUGUAGACGGCUUUCUGGACCAUAACUGACGCUGAGACACGAAAGCGUGGGUAGCAAACAGG